UAUCGGAACGUACCCUAGAGUGGGGGAUAACGUAGCGAAAGUUACGCUAAUACCGCAUACGAUCUACGGAUGAAAUGGGGGCUGCGCAAGCACCUCACGCUCAUGGAGCGGCCGAUAUCUGAUUAGCUAGUUGCGGGGUAAAGCCCACCAAGGCAUCGAUCAGUAGCUGGUCUGAGAGGACGACCAGCCACACUGGGACUGGGACACGGCCCAG
rnacentral:rRNA from 1 species